AGCGAACGCUGGCGGCAGGCCUAACACAUGCAAGUCGAACGAACCUUUCGGGGUUAGUGGCGGACGGGUGAGUAACACGUGGGAACGUGCCUUUAGGUUCGGAAUAACUCAGGGAAACUUGUGCUAAUACCGAAUGUGCCCUUCGGGGGAAAGAUUUAUCGCCUUUAGAGCGGCCCGCGUCUGAUUAGCUAGUUGGUUGAGGUAAUGGCUCACCAAGGCGACGAUCAGUAGCUGGUCUGAGAGGAUGAUCAGCCACAUUGGGACUGAGACACGGCCCAAACUCCUACGGGAGGCAGCAGUGGGGAAUCUUGCGCAAUGAGCGAAAGCCUGACGCAGCCAUGCCGCGUGAAUGAUGAAGGUCUUAGGAUUGUAAAAUUCUUUCACCGGGGACGAUAAUGACGGUACCCGGAGAAGAAGCCCCGGCUAACUUCGU
rnacentral:rRNA from 1 species